rnacentral:rRNA from 1 species
UACGUAGGGUCCGAGCGUUGUCCGGAAUUACUGGGCGUAAAGAGCUUGUAGGCGGUUUGUCGCGUCUGCUGUGAAAAUCCGGGGCUCAACCCCGGACUUGCAGUGGGUACGGGCAGACUAGAGUGUGGUAGGGGAGACUGGAAUUCCUGGUGUAGCGGUGGAAUGCGCAGAUAUCAGGAGGAACACCGAUGGCGAAGGCAGGUCUCUGGGCCGUAACUGACGCUGAGGAGCGAAAGCAUGGGGAGCGAACAGG